UGGGCAAGUCUUAUACGACCAGCUCCUGCUGAACUUCCCCAGGCCGGGAACGGAGCAAGGAUAGGUGGUUGAGCGGUGCGAUGUAAGUAGCUUGCCCACU
rnacentral:SRP_RNA from 1 species